rnacentral:rRNA from 1 species
CCCUUAGAUGUUCUGGGCCGCACGCGCGCUACACUGAUGCAUUCAACGAGCCUAUCCUUGACCGACAGGUCCGGGUAAUCUUUGAAUCUGCAUCGUGACGGGGAUAGAUUAUUGCAAUUAUUAAUCUUCAACGAGGAAUGCCUAGUAGGCGCAAGUCAUAAGCUUGCGCUGAUUACGUCCCUGCCCUUUGUACACACCGCCCGUCGCUACGACCGACUGUUUCUGUCAAUGAAGCUGUAGGAUUCGGCCCUGGCCGGGGCGCAAGCCCUGGCUACGUGGUUGGAGAUCAUAGUUUAGUUGAUACGAAAUACAGGACGUAAAAGUCGUAACA